rnacentral:rRNA from 1 species
AAAUUGAAGAGUUUGAUCAUGGCUCAGAUUGAACGCUGGCGGCAGGCCUAACACAUGCAAGUCGAACGGUAGCACAGAGAGCUUGCUCUCGGGUGACGAGUGGCGGACGGGUGAGUAAUGUCUGGGAAACUGCCUGAUGGAGGGGGAUAACUACUGGAAACGGUGGCUAAUACCGCAUAACGUCGCAAGACCAAAGAGGGGGACCUUCGGGCCUCUUGCCAUCAGAUGUGCCCAGAUGGGAUUAGCUUGUUGGUGAGGUAACGGCUCACCAAGGCGACGAUCCCUAGCUGGUCUGAGAGGAUGACCAGCCACACUGGAACUGAGACACGGUCCAGACUCCUACGGGAGGCAGCAGUGGGGAAUAUUGCACAAUGGGCGCAAGCCUGAUGCAGCCAUGCCGCGUGUAUGAAGAAGGCCUUCGGGUUGUAAAGUACUUUCAGCGGGGAGGAAGGUGUUGUGGUUAAUAACCGCAGCAAUUGACGUUACCCGCAGAAGAAGCACCGGCUAACUCCGUGCCAGCAGCCGCGGUAAUACGGAGGGUGCAAGCGUUAAUCGGAAUUACUGGGCGUAAAGCGCACGCAGGCGGUCUGUCAAGUCGGAUGUGAAAUCCCCGGGCUCAACCUGGGAACUGCAUUCGAAACUGGCAGGCUUGAGUCUUGUAGAGGGGGGUAGAAUUCCAGGUGUAGCGGUGAAAUGCGUAGAGAUCUGGAGGAAUACCGGUGGCGAAGGCGGCCCCCUGGACAAAGACUGACGCUCAGGUGCGAAAGCGUGGGGAGCAAACAGGAUUAGAUACCCUGGUAGUCCACGCCGUAAACGAUGUCUACUUGGAGGUUGUGCCCUUGAGGCGUGGCUUCCGGAGCUAACGCGUUAAGUAGACCGCCUGGGGAGUACGGCCGCAAGGUUAAAACUCAAAUGAAUUGACGGGGGCCCGCACAAGCGGUGGAGCAUGUGGUUUAAUUCGAUGCAACGCGAAGAACCUUACCUGGUCUUGACAUCCACAGAAGAAUCCAGAGAUGGAUUUGUGCCUUCGGGAACUGUGAGACAGGUGCUGCAUGGCUGUCGUCAGCUCGUGUUGUGAAAUGUUGGGUUAAGUCCCGCAACGAGCGCAACCCUUAUCCUUUGUUGCCAGCGGUUAGGCCGGGAACUCAAAGGAGACUGCCAGUGAUAAACUGGAGGAAGGUGGGGAUGACGUCAAGUCAUCAUGGCCCUUACGACCAGGGCUACACACGUGCUACAAUGGCGCAUACAAAGAGAAGCGACCUCGCGAGAGCAAGCGGACCUCAUAAAGUGCGUCGUAGUCCGGAUUGGAGUCUGCAACUCGACUCCAUGAAGUCGGAAUCGCUAGUAAUCGUGGAUCAGAAUGCCACGGUGAAUACGUUCCCGGGCCUUGUACACACCGCCCGUCACACCAUGGGAGUGGGUUGCAAAAGAAGUAGGUAGCUUAACCUUCGGGAGGGCGCUUACCACUUUGUGAUUCAUGACUGGGGUGAAGUCGUAACAAGGUAACCGUAGGGGAACCUGCGGUUGGAUCACCUCCUUA